GACGAACGCUGGCGGUGUGCUUAACACAUGCAAGUGGUGCGACGAACCAGAGCUUGCUCUGGGGCAAAGCCGCGAACGGGUGAGUAACACGUGUGUAAUCUCCCCCGAUGACCUGGACAACCCUUGGAAACUCUGGCUCAUACCGGAUGUGGUGCCGCGACCUACGUCUCUUCACUAAAGGUAGCUUCGGCUUCCGCGUUGGGCGCGGCCCGCGGCCCCUUAGAUUGUUGGUGGGGUCAUGGCCUACCAAGGCAACGAUGGGUAGCUGAUGUGAGAGGAGGAUAAGCCACAUUGGGAGUGAGACACGGCCAAGACGCCUAAGGGAGGCAGCAGUGGGGAAUGGGGCGCAAAGGGCGAAAGCGUGACGCAGCAACACCGCGUGAGAGAAGAAGGCCUUAGGGUUGUAAAGCUCGUUCAGAUGGGACGAAGGUUCUCCGGUGAAUAGCAGAGAGGAGUGACGGUAACGGCAGAAGAAGCUCCGGCUAACUACGUG
rnacentral:rRNA from 1 species